UCUCUUUCUCUCUCUAGGGUUUCUUUCUUUUCUUCUCUUUCAGCUGCUGAGUUACUUGUGCUGUCCGAUUCCCACCAACCAUGGGGUCGAUCCCCGAUCCAGGCGAGUUAACCGAGUUGACUCGGCCGAGCUUCGACCAGUUCCAACGCCAGACCUCUCUUAUGACCAGCUGUACUCUUCUCUGGAAGGAGCUUUCUGACCACUUCACCUCUCUCGAGCAGAACCUCCAGAAGAAAUCGGAAGCUCUCAAGCAUAAAUUACAGACACUAGACCACGACACGAAGGCCACGCUCGCAUCCCUCAAGAAGCGUGAGGUCACUAUUGACGGAAGUGUGGAGAUUACACUCGAGCGUGUAGAGGAGCAUAGAGAAGCCGCUCUCAAGUUAGUCGAGAACUCCAAUUUUGACCAUCCUGAUGGCGAGGUGGAUGACGGCGAUGGACUGUUACAGCUUCUGAAAUCCUUCUGCUUGAAAAUGCACUCCAGGGAGUUCUGGCAGUUUGUGAUUACCAAGAAGAAGGAACUUGAUGUGUUGAGGAGCCAGAUUCCUUUGGCUUUGGCAGAAUGCGUGGAUCCUGCUAGGUUUGCCUUGGAAGCCAUUUCAGAGGUCUUUCCGGUGGAUAAGAGAGUAGAAAGGACUGAGAAAGGGAAUGAUUUGGGAUGGGCUUGUGUGCUGGUUCUGGAGAGCUUGAUUCCAGUGGUGGUAGACCCGGUGAUAGGCAAGUCCAGGCUGUUAGUGACACCAAGUGUGACAGAAAGGGCCAAAGAGAUUGCGGAGACUUGGAAGAGAAGCCUGGAAGAGCGUGGUGGGAUUGAGAAUGUCAAGACUCCUGAUGUGCAUACUUUCUUGCAGCAUUUGGUCACUUUUGGGAUUGUGAAGAAGGAGGAUAUGGAUUUGUACAGGAAACUCGUAGUUGGGUCUGCUUGGCGCAAGCAGAUGCCUAAGCUUGCUCUCUCGCUUGGUUUGGCUGAUAAAAUGCCUGGUAUGUUUCUUCUUUAUGUAUAACUUUCCUCAUUUUCUAAUUUUAUUUGGUUUUCCCAGCGAUUCUACAAAAAUAUUACUUUUUCUGCCACCAAAGGCGCUCUUUCAUUGUAUCCUCAAACCCACGAAGUAUGUCCUAGUUGCGUGUAAUGUUUCCUUAUAUUAUGCUGAGGAGCAUACGGAGGACUGGUUCAACUUGAUCAAGUUUGGUUGUGUAAUUUCUUGUUAGUUUGUAGUUGAAUGAACAAGUAUGUGUGGUAAAGUGGUGAUCCAUAAAGUUUUGCUGUACAUGUUCUGAUAAAAAUCGAGGGAGGGGGGAGGGGGAUGGUAUAAUUUAUUGUCAACAGCAGAGCAGUGUAUAAGCUCAGUUAUCAAUAGAUGAGCAUUUGUGUGUGCGACACACAGAGAGGGAAAGAAGAACAUGAAGAAGACAGAAGAGAGGGGGAGAGAGGGGUGGGAUGCAAGCUUUCAGUGUGUUGAUAAGGUAGGGUUCUAACCUUUUUUGCACUUAUUCCAAAAUUUCAAUCAGUAGAUCAUAUUGAUCAUUCAGCCCCGGUCAUGGAGCUUGAUUCUGGUAAACUUGGGAGUCUAUAUCAAGUAGCUAGCAUCUUGAUUGAGUUCUGUUUAACUUGGUCCUUGGGUGUUGCCUAUCAAGGUGAAGGCGGCUCAUUGCGCCUUACAAGAAGACUUGUAUUUUUGUUGGUUUUCUGGUACACUUGAUUAUUCUUCAACUAGAUACUGUUGUCCACUUAACAAGAAGACAAGCAUCUUCUGCGUAGCUGAAUUUAUGGAUUUCUUACUCCUCAACCAUUUCUUUAGAAAAUCAAUUGUAAAUUUUUGCUGGCAGUCCAAUGAGCCAGUUUCAAUGUUGUCAUUUUAAAAGCUGCAAAGGUCCAAUAUGCUUUGUCAUUCUAAAGCUUCUGUGCUUUAUUAUGAUCAACGUAAAUUUAUCUUGUGUGAGGCCAAUGAGUUUUGCAUGUAUAGCUUUUCAAGUUCCAACUUUAAUCCUUUUUUUUUAUAAGCCAGCAAGAAUGGAAAGGCAUUGGUGCUUAAUAUGGCUAGAUUAAAGAUUUGGUGAGAAACAUUCAAUUCGUAUGUUUACUUGAAUAUGUUUGGUAUCAAUAUAUCUUUAAAUAUUUCAUUGAUAUUUGCUGGUAUUAUUGCAUGAUUUUGUCUUUUAUGAUGUAUCCUAUGGGUCACAUCACCUUGUAAAUUGCCCGCGAAGCUACUGUAGUUGAUUAUUGAGGUGAUCUUAACUGUUCUCAUGUACAGAUAUGAUUGAAGAACUAAUUACUAGGGGACAGCAGCUUGAUGCUGUGCAUUUUACUUAUGAAGUUGGCCUUGUAGACAAGUUCCCCCCUGUUCCAUUGCUAAAAGCAUUUUUGAAGGAUGCAAAGAAGGCUGCAGCUUCUAUUUUGGAUGAUCCCGAUACUGGUCGAGCUGCAGUAUGAAUCCUUUAUUUUAAUCUUCUGGAUAUGGUUUUAGGUGGUGCUUAUUUUAUAUAGUUUCUGUUUUUCCUGUGUUAAACAUUGAAUAUUAGGUUUCUCUCUUGGAUGUGUUCAUUCUGAAAAAUAUGUUUACUUUCCAGUUUGGUGCAGUGGGUAACCCAAUGGCCUUCCAGCGAUAGGUCCAUUUUUUAUCUCAAUAUGUACUUACCUAAAUGAAUAAUGAUGUGGUGUGCUCACUAGUCAUCAUCCAUAGGCAUACCAAGUUUGCUAUUGUUGAAUUUAUAUGCAACUACAAACUGGAAUGUCUUUGUUUAAGCUUAAUUAUGAAGGAAAAGAUUAAUUGCUGAGGGGGGCUUUACUUUGUAGUUCUUACCUAAGGUUGUAUCCCCAGGCGAGGGCAAUCUAUUGACUUUGCCUUGGGACUUAUUAAGCAGCAGUUUGCUUUUCUUUGCCCAAACUUGUACAUUUACAACACUAAAACCAUAUGCUAGGAUGAAAUGUUGUAUUUGCUAACAAUAAUAUCUUGGAUGAUGACCAGAUUUUCUUUUGCCUUAAAAAGAUAAAACUAAUUGUAUAGACUAGAAAAAAAAAAUUGUGUAGAUUAGAAAUGCAUUGAUUUUAAUGAAUACAACUAAUGCAGUGCAUAGGUUAUGACAAAAAUUUUUAUCUAAUGUUGUUAUACAUAACUCUUGUACCAUUGUAUUGUUAUACAUAAUUAUCUAAUUUUUUUUUUAUGUUCUAUUAUUUUAUAGGAGUGACUAGUUCAUUUCUUUCAACUUACUAGUAGUUAUUUUUAUCAAUAUUGUAGCACCUUGCUGCCCGGAAGGAGCAGUCAGCUCUUCGGGCUGUCAUUAAGUGCAUUGAAGAAUACAAACUAGAGGCUGAGUUCCCACCAGAAAAUCUCAAGAAACGCCUUGAACAGGUAGAGAAGGUCAAGACUGAGAAGGUCAAGACUGAGAAGAAAAGGCCAGCUGCAGUUCCUGCCAACAAAAGAACACGUGCCAGCAAUGGUGGUCCAAUGCCUCCAGCCAAGGCUGGCCGCUUGACGAACGCUUACGUAUCAUCUUUCCCCGCACCUCCAACAUUUGUCAGGUCUCCGUCACACACUCAAUAUCCUACUGGUGUACCAGCAUAUCCUUCUGCCGCUGCAGUUUAUGGUAGCAGGAGCCCUCAAUCUCCAUAUGCCUACUCACCAGAGGCAACUGCCCCCAUUGCUGGAUCAUAUCGUGGAGCUCCUUUGAAUUAUCCUCCAUAUGGAGGCUAUGGAAAUGGUUUCGCACCAGCUUAUCAGCAGGCUUACUACCUAUAGACAUGACUACUUGUUGAAGAUGGUGACCACUGAUAUGAUGACCCCAAUAUCAUUUGCUUUCUCGACUGGCUUGUUUGUAAUCACUAACCUUUUUAAUGGUAGCGAUGCGUGUGUGAAUUAUAACUUUUCUACUUCUUGCAGUGUCAUUGUAAGUUGUAUUUCUAAUGAUCAAACUGUAGCACUAGGUACUUGUAAAAGUAAUCCUGAUGGAAACAUAACAAUGUUGAUGUACUAAAAUUACGGCCGCUGUUAUUAGGGUUAGUUGUAGAAAAGCUGUUCCCUGCUGUCUUGAUUGUGGUUUGAAUAUUCCCGUUUCUUAUGGGUUGAGGUUGGAGCAAAUGCCAUCUUUCAUGACCAACUCAAUUAAGAAUCUAGUAAAUCAAAACUGGAUGGCAUUUGAUUCCAUUCAAGCACCUUUGUUUCUAUCUUCACUUGAUAGUUGUGUGAUGUAGGGGCCUGCAGUGUCGUAGUACGACUGGUUGCACAGUAUUUAGCAUACAGAUAAUGUUCACAGGCAGUUAUUGUAGGUGGUGAUUCUACCCGCAUUACUAACCAAAGGCUUUGGCAGGUAUUUUGUGAAAGGUAGACCGAUGGUUAGUACGUUUAUAUGAUAUAAUUGUUUCUCAACCUAGUGAAAUGUUCUUGCUGUUUACUGGAAUGAUUUUCGGUUAGCUGCCGGGUCAUAUGGUGUGGUUUCUUUAUUUGGAGCUAUAGCUUUUUCUUUUAAUGGCUGCAAGGUUGUUUAUAACGCACAAAUAUUUAUGGAUUGUUGUGCUCGUUAUGGGUAAAAUUUUCAACAGGGUGAAAGUUUGUGAGGGAUGGUAUUGUGAAUUUGUCCAAUUAAUUUUUUGUAUACUUUUUCUAGUUGAAUUAUUUGACUGAUCG
rnacentral:misc_RNA from 1 species